rnacentral:rRNA from 1 species
GGGGCCNGCACAAGCGUUGGAGUAUGUGGUUAAUUCGAUGCACGCGAAGAACCUUACUUGCCUUGACAUUGUCGAAUCCUGCAANAUGCGGAANUNCCCCAGGAACGACAAGACAGUGCUGCUGGCUGUCGUCAGCUCGUGUCGUGAAUGUUGGGUUAAUCCCGCAAGAGCGCACCCUUGUCCCUAGUUGCCAGCACGUAAUGGUGGGAAUCUAGGGAGAUGCCGGUGACAAACCGGAGGAAGGUGGGGAUGACGUCAAGUCCUCAUGGCCCUUACGGCCAGGGCUACACACGUACUACAAUGGUCGGUACAGAGGGUUGCGAAGCCGCGAGGUGGAGCCAAUCCCAGAAAACCGAUCUCAGUCCGGAUUGGAGUCUGCAACUCGACUCCAUGAAGUCGGAUCGCUAGUAANCGCGAAUCAGCUAUGUCGCGGUGAAUACGUUCCCG